rnacentral:rRNA from 1 species
GACGAACGCUGGCGGCGUGCUUAACACAUGCAAGUCGAACGGAAAGGCCCUGCUUUUGUGGGGUGCUCGAGUGGCGAACGGGUGAGUAACACGUGAGUAACCUGCCCUUGACUUUGGGAUAACUUCAGGAAACUGGGGCUAAUACCGGAUAGGAGCUCCUGCUGCAUGGUGGGGGUUGGAAAGUUUCGGCGGUUGGGGAUGGACUCGCGGCUUAUCAGCUUGUUGGUGGGGUAGUGGCUUACCAAGGCUUUGACUGGUAGCCGGCAUGGGAGGGUGACCGGCCACAUUGGGACUGAGAGACGGCCCAGACUCCAACGGGAGGCAACAGUGGGGAAUAUGGCACAAUGGGCGGGAGCCUGAUGCAGCAACGCCGCGUGCGGGAUGACGGCCUUCGGGUUGUGAACCGCUUUCGCCUGUGACGAAGCGUGAGUGACGGUAAUGGGUGAAGAAGCACCGGCUAACUACGUG